UGGUGGAGUGAUUUGUCUGGUUAAUUCCGAUAACGAACGAGACUCUAGCCUGCUAAAUAGUUACGCAUAACUUCGGUUAUGCGGGCAACUUCUUAGAGGGACUUUGUAUGUCUAAUGCAAGGAAGUUUGAGGCAAUAACA
rnacentral:rRNA from 1 species